rnacentral:rRNA from 1 species
AUUGAACGCUGGCGGCAGGCCUAACACAUGCAAGUCGAACGGUAACAGGAAGCAGCUUGCUGCUUCGCUGACGAGUGGCGGACGGGUGAGUAAUGUCUGGGAAACUGCCUGAUGGAGGGGGAUAACUACUGGAAACGGUAGCUAAUACCGCAUAACGUCGCAAGACCAAAGAGGGGGACCUUCGGGCCUCUUGCCAUCGGAUGUGCCCAGAUGGGAUUAGCUAGAGGUGGGGUAACGGCUCACCUAGGCGACGAUCCCUAGCUGGUCUGAGAGGAUGACCAGCCACACUGGAACUGAGACACGGUCC